GAUGAACGCUGGCGGCGUGCCUAAUACAUGCAAGUCGAGCGAACAGACGAGGAGCUUGCUCCUCUGACGUUAGCGGCGGACGGGUGAGUAACACGUGGAUAACCUACCUAUAAGACUGGGAUAACUUCGGGAAACCGGAGCUAAUACCGGAUAAUAUAUUGAACCGCAUGGUUCAAUAGUGAAAGACGGUUUUGCUGUCACUUAUAGAUGGAUCCGCGCCGCAUUAGCUAGUUGGUAAGGUAACGGCUUACCAAGGCAACGAUGCGUAGCCGACCUGAGAGGGUGAUCGGCCACACUGGAACUGAGACACGGUCCAGACUCCUACGGGAGGCAGCAGUAGGGAAUCUUCCGCAAUGGGCGAAAGCUUGACGGAGCAACGCCGCGUGAGUGAUGAAGGUCUUCGGAUCGUAAAACUCUGUUAUUAGGGAAGAACAAAUGUGUGAGUAACUAUGCACGUCUUGACGGUACCUAAUCAGAAAGCCACGGCUAACUACGUG
rnacentral:rRNA from 1 species